CACGUAGGGUGCGAGCGUUGUCCGGAAUUAUCGGGCGUAAAGAGCUCGUAGGCGGUGUGUCGCGUCGGCCGUGAAAACCUGCAGCUUAACUGUGGGCUUGCGGUCGAUACGGGCAUCACUGGAGUUCGGCAGGGGAGACUGGAAUUCCUGGUGUAGCGGUGAAAUGCGCAGAUAUCAGGAGGAACACCGGUGGCGAAGGCGGUUCUCUGGGCAUGUCCUGACGCUGAGGAGCGAAAGUGUGGGGAGCGAACAGG
rnacentral:rRNA from 1 species